AAAACCCGCUAAGCAGGAAGCGUUUUGUUGGCCCGGAGUCAGCUGAGUGGAGAAGCUUCCCCGGAAUGCGAGCAGGAUUGAGCUGAAUGACCAAGGUCGCCCCUGGUCCUCUGGAGAGGGAAAUGAGACCACAGCGAGAAGUCGGUUCGCGAGGUAUUUGAGUUUUGGAAACUCCCGAGAUAAAGGGAAAUUGUGUCACGUGAGAAUUAUAAAAGUUAGCCUAAGUAUUUUCCCACUCAUAGCUAGGUUUCUGAAGCUGAUCCGACGCGCAUGACACAGGGUUUUAAUCUCACCGAGGAGGCAGAGCUCUGUGAGUUCAAGGUCAGCCACCACUGUAACGAGACCCCGUCUAUAUUUAGAAAACAUUAAAUACCCAAGUUUGGUCCUGAGCUGGCAUCAUGGGGGGGGGGGGUGGAAAUGAGUCAGGGGUGAACCCUGGUAGAGGUCUUUGGGUUAUUGAGUAGACAGAUGAUGGGAGCAUGUUCUUGUAAGAGAAUUGUGGGUGAGCCCUUUUGCUCUACCAACUGCUCCUGCCAUGAUGCGAGGUGCUGGCCUUCUCCAGAGGCCUGUGAGUAGUGAACUGGAACCUUCAAGGCAAUGAACCAAAUAAACCUUUCCUUAGUAACUCUAUCCAGCAUUUGCCACAGUGGCGGGAAACGGACACACACUAUUAUGCUUAUUUGAAAACAUUAACUCAUUCAAUAAACAUUGACAGUUUAACAUACCCGUUAUCUGAACGAGCCCUAGUUCCUAUUUGUAGGACUUGGGCGUUCCCUUUCUUGUCUACACUCUGACUACCCCACCCACACUCCACGUCAUAGGGAUGCUGGGAGAGCAGUCGACCGAAAGGUUCCUAUUCAGUACGUGGGCACUUCUAUUUCCUCGCAGCAAGCAUGUGCAUUUAUAGGGGACGGGCAAAGCAGCAUACCGGGAGAGACUUGGGUGGCUCUAGUUAUGCUAGGGUUUACUGGAGAAUUCAGUGUCAACGAGGUAGACGGUAGAGGGCCCACUUGUGUGUUAAAGUCAACAAAAGUGAAAAAAAUACUAAAAACAACAGUUUGCCAAAACAACACAAGUUUUAAUUCUGUGGGGUAACCAUCUCAGUUUUACAAGUUCUGGGUUGUGCUUGGAAUCUGAGAGCUUUGGUUUAGAUUUAGCAUUUUACUGCAGAUAGUUACUCGAAACUCCUUAGACUAACUUGGUUUCAAGACAUUCCUUUAAAAACACUUGAGGCAGACAUUUCACCAAGAAGUCGGCCCCACGUUGAAACAACAAAUUCACACAUCAGUCAGUGUUUGUAUGUCUCUAUGUAUUUCCCCAAAUUCCUCGUCUCCCCUUCUCAGGGAUUGGGGCUGUCGGCUGUAAUCGCCAGGGUGAUGGGGACAUCUAGAGGUUACUGUGGGAACUACAGGAAGCUAUGACCGUUGGGCUUUACUCAAAAGACCCAGGGCUCUGACUUUGCCUAAGAGGCGUGUCCUAACAGCAGAAUCUGGAGCGUGGGACCGCAGACCUCCUGAGUCAGCAUAUUUCUAAGAGAAAAUGGGUAUUCACCACUUUAUUGAAUUUAUCUGGAUGGGCCCUCACUUUUCUGAAGAUACCUUCCUACCCCACUGAAGGUAGCCAGAACCAUCAGCCUUGAAAACAACCCCUGAGAACGACUCAAGCCUUUUACCUCCAAAUAAAUUUGGUAAACAAACUGAAAUCAUGAGUGUGUCCUAGUUCACCUGUUAAAGGUUGGACUUCCGUGGCCCAGAGCACUUGCGGAAUCCCUGUGGUCUGUGACUGUUCUUUCAAGAGAAGGUACACUCCAGUAACAGGAUGACCUUAGGAAACCCAUGACCCAGGCAAUGGACCCUACAUCUUUUGAGUUCACAGCUCCCCAAUUCUGGAGUCAUGGAUUUUUAUUCUGUCUUUGUUGAGAUAGGGUCUCACUACUGUGGUGCUGGCAGGCCUGGAACACGCUACACAGAUCACUCCUGCCUCUUACAGGCUAGCAGCUAUACACAGGUCAAAUCCAGACCAGUGCCUUCUUCAGUGGAGGUGCUGUGCCCAUCCUCCCCACCUCCAGCACUGUUCCCUGGUCCUAUUUCCAGAGCAAAUUUACACUACUCCAGAGGUACCUGUAGCCUUACAAGCUAUUCCUCUGCUGACACUAGUACAACGUUUCUACACCUCUGGGUCACAACCCCGUUACGGGGGAGGGGUGUCAAAUGACCCUUUCAUGGGGGUUACCUAAGACCAUCAUAAAGCAGAUAUUUAUAUUACAAUUCAUAACAGUGGCAAAAUCAGUUAUGAAGUAGCAACGGAAACAAUCUUAUGAUGGGGUCACCACAUGAGGAACGGUAUCAAAGGUCACAGCAUCAGAAGACUGGGAACCCCUGCUCUAGAGGCUUAAGGGAAAGGCCAAUCACUGCCAUCAGGGUGGCACGCCACAGGUCUUAGGACUGGGGUUUAUACUGCCCACCCCUGCCUGCCUGCUUUAGAAAAUGAAAGCUGCUCGGCCGCAGCUUCUAAUACCUGUCUGGUGGGCAGCAAAGGGGCCCCUCAGAUAGGGUCUGCAAAAAGAUCUAUGUGAUUGUUUAAAUGAGAACUAUCCCUGAGUCUUGGGCCUUUUAAUAUUUGGUCCCUAGUUGAUGGUAUUGUUUGAGAGGUUUGGGAGCUAUGACCUUGUUGGAGGAAGGGGUUAAGAGUUAAAGACCUGCCAGGCAUGGUAGCACACGCUUUUAAUCCCAGCACUUGGGAGGUAGAGACAGGCAGAUCUCUGAGUUCCAGGCCAGCCUGGUCUACAGAGUGAGUUCCAGGACCCAGGGCUACAGAGAAACCCUGUCUUAAAAACUCAUGUCAUUUUGAGUUUGUGAAAGACUUUGAGACACCUUAGCACUACUGCACCCCCCAUCCUGGAAACCAGGCCUCUAGCAUUAGGAGGCACCUUAGCACUACUGCACCCCCCUUCCUGGGAACCAGGUCCCUAGUAACCAGCCACGCGUGCAUGGGAGCUUUGAGUACUUUCCAUCCCCAUUGUAGUCUUUCUCCAAUAGACCCGGACCCUGGAACUGGGGUGAGACGACCUGCAGGUGUUCCUCCUUGUAACCGCCAUAACAUUGAUCAAGUAGAGUUAGCUGACCAUUGUAUGAACUAGUCAAAACAGUUGACAAAUGAUUUUUGGACUUUCCCUUUGAUUCUGUACUACCCCCUCCCUGAAUUUGUGGUUUUCUCCUUUAAAAGAGCUUGUAAUGGACAAAGCAGGAGUCCUUCUCCUCUCGAGGCUGAGGGACCUCUGCCGUGGCAGAAUAAAAAUUCCUCUUGCUAUUGCA